rnacentral:rRNA from 1 species
UACGUAGGGUGCAAGCGUUGUCCGGAAUUAUUGGGCGUAAAGAGCUCGUAGGCGAUUUGUCGCGUCUGCUGUGAAAACUCGGGGCUUAACUCCGGGCCUGCAGUGGGUACGGGCAGACUAGAGUGCGGUAGGGGAGACUGGAAUUCCUGGUGUAGCGGUGGAAUGCGCAGAUAUCAGGAGGAACACCAGUGGCGAAGGCGGUCUCUGGGCCUAACUACGUGCUGAGGAGCGAAAGCUGGGGAGCGAAACAGGAUUAGAACCCUACCGUCGA